UUCAACAGAUGGAGCCUGAAGUGAGUUGU
rnacentral:piRNA from 1 species